CAGUUCUGGGGAGCUGUGACUUGCCCUAGGCCUGAAGGGCCAAAGGUGGGGAUGAAAUUUGCAGAGCCUACGAGUGCAGGUGCUAUGGAAGAGGGAUGCAGCCUCGUUCAUGCCACACGUUGGCCGAUGGGAAGGCCCAGUACAAGGAGUGCAGGUGAUCCUUUCUGUCUCUGGGGUUCAACUUCUCAGGUAAGGCAGCAGGGAGGAUGGGUUUUGGGGGUAGGCGGUGAUCCGAGAAUAACAAGAAAGUUAUUUUGCUGUGGACCAGCCUCUAUGAGAAUCAGGCACAUAGGCAGAGGUAUCCAGGGUCAGGGGCCUUCUAGGAAAGGCUGAUCGCAGAGCUAAGGCAAGAAGCUCGCUGAGGUCAGCCCACGUGGUGUCAGGAGUGGAGGCGGAGAGGCCCCAGCUGCAGAAACACAGGCACCUCCUUGCUUGUUGAGUGGAGUAGACAACAGACAUUUAUUUCUCACAGUUCUGGAGGCUGAGAAGCUAGAGAUCAGGGUGCCAGCAUGGCUGGGUUCUGGGAAGGGAUGGCUUCUAUUAUGUCCUCACUUGGCCUUUCACUGGUGAUUGCAGGCAGAGAGGGAGCAAGGGAUCUAGUGUCUCAUCCUCUUGAUAAGGUCACUAAUCUCAUUAUGAGGGCCCCACCCUCAUGCCCUCAUCUAACCCUAAUCACAUCCCAAAGGCCCCACCUCCUAAUACCAGCACAGUGGGGAUUAGGGCUUCCACAUAUGGAUUCUGGGGGCUACAAACAUUCAGCCCCAUGGCACAGGCCACAGAGAAGCAAGGAUAAUUGAGGACCACGAGGUCCUCUGGGACUCACGGUUCAUAGAGAGACAGAUAAAGAAGCAAGUACAGUGUUUGGAAAACAAACAAAAACCUACAAAGAGUUCUAGAGGAUUGUAGAGGGAAUGACCCUUUUCAUAAGCAAAGAUCAAGGGGCUGGAAGGAUGUGUGACAUUUAGGAAACGGUGCCCAGUCUGACUAUAAUGGUGGUGGCUGCUGCGCCUUCGGCCCCCUUUGCCUAUGCCAUUGCACAGUUGCUGCUCCGAUUAUGAUUGUCACGCCUGGCCUCACUAACACCACGCACCAAUAAAACUGCUGAUCAUGAAAUGAUUUAUUUUAAAUGUAACUUUCCCACAAACGGUUUAACAGGAGGUGGUUUAGAAAUGGUACACCACAUUUGAGCAGACAUCGAAAGUGUGUAACAAACCAUGAUGUUUAUAGCCUUCAGCGUCCCAGACUCUUCAGACAAGAGAGAAAGAGAGGGACAAAAAGAGAAAACAGAAAGAAAGACGAAAAGAAACAAAAAACAGUAGAGUUGUGAGACAAUCUAUACUCCAAUUUUGACUUAUAUUCAGAAGCAUCUUGUUAUCUCAUGGGGGAACUCAGGCUCUGUUAUCCUAACUCAAUUUCCAUACCAGUAGUAGUGAGUGAUGGUAAUGUUAUUUAGGAGCUAUUCACAUAAAAGCUUACCAUCCUAUAAUGGAUACCAUAGACUGGGUGGCUUAAACAAUAAACAUAUAUUUCACACAGUUCUAGAGGCUGGGAAGUCCAAGAUCUAGGUGCUGACAGAUCUGGUGUCUGGUGAGGGCUCCUCAGUUCCCAUUUGCAAACAUUUGGUCCAUAUGGACAAACACUUAGUCCAUAACAGUUACUAAGAGAACUGACAUUUCCUGAGGACCUAUUAGUUGCCGCACAAGUUAUUUAUGUCAUCUCAUUUAAUCAUCACAGCAGGCCUAAUGAAGUGGGAACUGUUUUUCCAAUUUUAUACAUGAGGAAACUGAGGAACGACUAGUUAAGUAACCUGUCCACAUAGAUUUUAGUCACUGAGCUGGGUUUCAGACCCUGGCCCAUCCCCUGCCACCGCUGAGGUGCCUGCUAACACCCCUCACCUAGGCGGGGGGCACUCAGAGGAAGAAAGUCAGUAGCCCCCCUGUCCCAGUAGGAGACAAAAAUUAUUUUUUCAUCAUUGAAUAUCAAACUCGUGACAGAUAAAAAGAAAUACCAGUAGAGGAGAAAUAUCAAAUACCUGGGAAAAUGAUUAGCUUACAAACCAAUAAAACAUACACAUUGAAACAAGAUUCAGUUUACACGAUCAACUUAAUUGAAAAAGACCCUAACACUUAAGUUGCUGGUUAGGUUGUGUAAAAUAUUUGAAAGCAAUCAAAAUUGAUUAGCUUCUUUGAUCAGCAAUGUUAAAUGCUUAUUAAAAACCACAAAAACAUUCACAUCACUGAUAACGUUGCUCAGCCAGUGACCACCAGAAACAUACACACACCAAGCUGGGUUUAGUGCUUACAAGGAACCAUAGAGUUGCUCAGUAGGAGCUUAGAAAGGACUUGUGGUAGGAUUUUGGCUCAUAUUAGGUAUUUAGGGGGGGGCAAGAAACCAAUUGGGUGUUGUGCCUAAGAACGUGGACCCUGUGGCCAGACUGCUUGGAUCAGUGUCCUCCCUCCACCACUUUGUAGCCAUCUGACCUCAGAUGGAGAAUUAGCACAACAUACAGGCUUCUGCUGCCAAAAUCAACCCUUGAGAAACCAUAGAAGCAAGAGGGAAAGAUGAACUCCAGGAACUGACAACACUUGCAACAACACAAAACCUUGAGAGAUCUCUGGAGUGACAGCAGCUUGUCUCAUCUGGCAUGAGGUGGGGGACGUAGUGGCUGCAGUGGGGGGCUGAGGGAAGAGGCCCAAAGCCGCCUUUGGAGAGGAGGUUGGAAGUAAGCUUUACAAAUUCUGCUCUGGUGUCCCCACAUCUGCUCCACCCAGGAGUUGCCUGAGGACCAGCCUUGACUGCCCCAGCACAGAAAUGGCUACAGUGGCUCAGUGCUGGUGUCUGUUUGUAAACCAUCUUUUAUUGGAACACAAGACACGCCCGUUCGUUUAUUUAUUGUCUGUGGUUGUUUUUGCCCUACGAUGGCAGAGUCAAGUAGACAGAGACUGGAUGGCCCACAAAGAGUACAAAUUAUUUACUAUCUGGCCCUUUACAGAAAACGUUUGCUGACCUCAGACCUGGAUUCAUGCUUCUGGGUUAAAAUCUGUCAGGGCAUCCUGCUUGUCCCCUCAUGCCUCCCUCCCUCCCACCGUGUCCACAAGGGACUCUUCCUCUACCCUAGCCCCCAACACUGGGCUCAGUCACUGGAAUCUCCCUGCUCUUACUUCUACACUCCACCCUCCCCACCCUGCCCUCACUUGCACAUGUCAGUGAAUCUUUGUGAAGCUUUGGGACCUAGGCUUCUGCACUUCCUUGCCCCACGGGAAUGUGAGAAGCUUUUCAUUUGUUUCAGGGGCUGCAUUUAUAUAAUGGAUACCCAGAUGUUUGCUUGGCAAGUCAAGACUCAGCUAAGGAAAUUCAUUUUUGGGUUGAAUAGGCAGACAGGACCGAUGCUAAAAACACGAGAAUGGGAGCAAAAGGGGGUUCAAGUCACUAUAAGGCUGGCAGAGGCCAGGGUUCUGCUCCAAGGCAACCCCUGGGAGGUGGCGAGACUUUAUAGGGCUGCAGCUGGGUGGCUAUGCAGGAGAACCGGCUCCAUGAUGCACGGCCCAGGGUGCCUCCAUAAAGGUCAUGGCACCACCCAACUGAUGUGAAUGAGUCUUUGCGGCUGGGUGUGGUGGUGCACAUCUAUAGUCCAAGAGAUAUUCUGGAGGCUGAGGUAAGAGGAUCACUUCAGCCCACGAGUUCGGGGCUGCAGUAAGCUAUGAUUGUGCCACUGCAUUUCAGCCUAGGCAACAAAGUGAGACCUCAUCUCUAAUAAAUAAAUAAGCAAACACACACACACACACACACACACACAACGAGUGAGUGUCAUCCUUG
rnacentral:lncRNA from 1 species